AGUGAACGCUGGCGGCGUGCUUAACACAUGCAAGUCGAACGAGAACGGGUUAUAGCUUGCUAUAAUUGUCAGCUAAGUGGCGCACGGGUGAGUAAUGUAUAGGUAAUAUGCCUCUUACUAAGGGAUAACAAAUGGAAACGUUUGCUAAUACCUUAUACUCCUUAUUAACAGAAGUUAAUAAGGGAAAGAUUUAUUGGUAAGAGAUUAGCCUGUAUUGUAUCAGUUAGUUGGUGGGGUAAUGGCUUACCAAGACUAUGACACAUAACUGGUUUGAGAGGAUGAUGAGUCACACUGGAACUGAGACGCGGUCCAGACUCCUACGGGAGGCGGCAGUGGGGAAUAUUGCACAAUGGACGAAAGUCUGAUGCAGCAACGCCGCGUGGAGGAUGACACAUUUCGGUGCGUAAACUCCUUUUAUAUGAGAAGAUAAUGACGGUAUUAUAUGAAUAAGCACCGGCUAACUCCGUGCCAGCCGCCGCAGUAAAAC
rnacentral:rRNA from 1 species